rnacentral:lncRNA from 1 species
GGCCAAGGGACUGAUCUUUGAAUGGGAAGCUUCAAACUUUAAAGAAGAAGCCUUCAGAAUGGCUUUGAAGAAGACAAGCUAGACACUGCUUCAGGGCACCGCCUUCAGAAUGCAUCUCGCCUGUCCAGGGGCGUCCCUGGUGAGGAGCUUUUUGAAGGGUUCGUUCCGCAGAGGGCCAGAGAGCUGAUGCUCAUGGAACCAGAUUGGUGGCUUUGACUUUCUGGAACAAUCGUCUUGCUUUUAUUCUAUUCUUUCUGAGAGGCUGGAGGUACUGAUGGGACGGAAAGGCCUCCAGGGAAGGGAAGCAGCACUUUCAUGCUGAAUGAAAACUAGAUAAGUCACUGCUGGCGACUGAAGACAGCUAAACGCCCCACAUCCGGAUUCAGCAGACUGGGGACCCGGAGGAAUUGCCACUGCUGGGGAGAAUAAAGCCAGACUGGAAAAGAAAACCCAAAUGAAGAGAAUGAGGGCCCUCGGAGAGUAAAUGGCGGCCUCCACCUCCACAGAGAGCAAGUUGGCCUCCUGGUGGAACUAUUUUUUCCUCUAUGAUGGUUCCCAGGUGAAGGGAGAAGGAGAUCCAACCCGAGCUGGCAUCUGUUACUUUUAUCCCCCGCAGACCCUGCUGGACCAACAGGAGCUGCUGUGUGGACAGAUCGCCGGGGUUGUCCACUGCGUUUCCCACAUUUCCGGCGCUCCUCCUGCCCUUGUCCGCCUGCGGAAGCUGAAGUUCGCCGUAGAGGUUGACGGUGAUUACCUCUGGGUGCUGGGCUGUGCUGUGGAGCUCCCCGACGUCAGCUGCAAGCAGCUUCUGCACCGGCUCAUUGGCUUCUUUCGUUUUCACAAUGGGCCCGUGUCUCUGGCCUGCAAGAGCUGCCCGCGGGAAGAACUGCGCGCCGAGUGGGACACGCUCAUCGAGCACAUACUGGGGAACACAGGCGACCUGCACAAGAUCUUCAGCUGCCUCUGGCACCUGGAUCGAACCAAAGUGGAGCCCCUGCUCCUGCUCAAGGCGGCCCUCAUCCUGCAGACCUGCCAGCGCGCGCCCCACAUGCUCGCCGGCUGCAUCCUCUACGCGGGACUGAUCGUCAGCACCCAGCUCCCGCCCUCCGUCACGGCCAAGGUCCUCCUUCAUCGCGUGGCACGUCAGGACCAGAGGAAACCUACGGGAGGGGACGCCCUGCAGGAAUGUGGAGCUGCGCUCCCUCCCAACGUUCAGAUCACGCCUGUUUUCCUGACUGAAGAGGAAGCCGCCAGUCUCCGCGAGUUUCCCCGGGAGCCCCCGGCCAGCGCUCCGGUGCCUCCAGCCAGACUCCAGGAGCCUUCAGCCGCUCCAAAAGAAAACGCCCCCGGACACGUGGGCUCCAAAGCUCAGAUCUCGACGACCACAUCUGAACCCCCGUCUCCUGAUGCCACCUGGGCAGAUGGCAGCGGGGAGAACAGACACUGGCUCGGCCCUGACCUGAAGAUCACGCUGCCCGCAAUGCGGCACUGUACUGCUGAGGGCAAGGGUUCAGGUUUGUUUGGGGGGAACGGGGACCUGGACUUGUCUGAAAUCCACAUCCCAGAGGCUCAGAAAACAGAAGCAUCCCCGGGCCAUCCUGCUGCAGAUGGCGGGGGUCCUGGUUGUGAGCAAUCUGUCCACAACCCCGGCAGUCCCGGAACCAAGCCGCACGGGGCUCUGCCCCUGGGCCGCCUCCCCACCUCCGCUCCUGAGGUGGUCCCCCAGAAUGGAGCCCUCGAGCAGCCCGCAGACCUUCCUGGCAAUGGUGGCCAAGCCCUGGUCACCAGGGAAGACCACGUCCCCGGCACGACGAGCGGGCCUGGGCGGGCACCUUGCUUGGAUCUGAGGCAGAGGGGCACUGAACUGCCCCUGGAGGAACACGGUGGAGAGCAGCACCGCAGUGGGGCUCCCAAGUGCUGCUUGACCCCUGGCCUGGACUCCACAGACCCCUCAGACGAAGGCCCCUCUGCAGACGGAACCACGUCCAGGGUGAGCCUGGCCUCCUGCGAGGGGCUCGUGCGGAUGAACCUCUACACGCACAGCGUCAAGGGCCUGGUGCUGUCGCUACUGGCCGAGGAGCCGCUGCUGGGGGACCGCGCGGCUGUGGACGAGGUGUACCACGGCAGCCUGGCGUCCCUCAACGGGCUGGAGGUGCACUUGAGCGAGACGCUGCCCCGGGACCAAGCAGCCCCCGCGGCCAGAACCUACAGCUUCGCACACUAUGACCGCGUCCAGAACUUGCUAGCAGCCAACCUGCCACAGGUGACCACGGCGCAGGACCACCGCUUCCUCCAGGCUGUCAGCCUGAUGCAUUCCGACUUCUCCCGGCUGCCCACGCUGUACGAGGUGACCGUCAGGAACGCCUCCACGGCUGUAUACGCCUGCUGCAGCCCUGUUCAGGAAACCUACUUCCAGCAGCUGGCCACAGCGACGCGGAGCUCUGGCUUCCCGAACCCGCAGGAUGGUGCCUUCGGCCUCCCAGGCAAAGCCAAACAGAAGCUGCUAAAGCACGGGGUGAACCUGCUCUGAACCAUGGGUCGCUCCUGACCCUCGCGGUGACUCUCAAAUCAAACCCCAGCAAAGGAGGUGCUGUCUUGUUAAGUGGAAAGCCCCUCUGUUUCACUUUCCCUGGAAUAGUCCUCUUUUUGGGGACUGCAGUUUUUGAGUGUUUGUUACUCCUUCUGUGGAUCAGGGCUGGAGGGGGUUGUUCCUCGGGUUGGCAGACCUAGAGCUUGUGGUAAAGAACUUGACAGCGUGGGUGGUGCGGGGGCCAGGGUGGGGCCACGGCUCUUUCCACCCCAGGGGCCCGGGUCAGUGACUCCCCCAUUACACGG